rnacentral:rRNA from 1 species
UACGGAGGAUCCAAGCGUUAUCCGGAAUUACUGGGCGUAAAGAGUUGCGUAGGUGGCAUAGUAAGUAGGUAGUGAAAGCGUGUGGCUCAACCAUACUCACAUUAUCUAAACUGCUAAGCUAGAAUAUAGAAGAGGUAGCUGGAAUUCCUAGUGUAGGAGUGAAAUCCGUAGAUAUUAGGAGGAACACCAAUGGCGUAGGCAGGCUACUGGUCUAUUAUUGACACUAAGGCACGAAAGCGUGGGGAGCGAACGGG